rnacentral:rRNA from 1 species
AUUGAACGCUGGCGGCAUGCUUUACACAUGCAAGUCGAACGGCAGCGCGGGCUUCGGCCUGGCGGCGAGUGGCGAACGGGUGAGUAAUGCAUCGGAACGUGCCCAGUAGUGGGGGAUAGCCCGGCGAAAGCCGGAUUAAUACCGCAUACGACCUGAGGGUGAAAGCGGGGGACCGAAAGGCCUCGCGCUAUUGGAGCGGCCGAUGUCGGAUUAGCUAGUUGGUGGGGUAAGGGCUUACCAAGGCGACGAUCCGUAGCUGGUCUGAGAGGACGACCAGCCACACUGGGACUGAGACACGGCCCAGACUCCUACGGGAGGCAGCAGUGGGGAAUUUUGGACAAUGGGGGCAACCCUGAUCCAGCCAUGCCGCGUGCGGGAAGAAGGCCUUCGGGUUGUAAACCGCUUUUGUUCGGGAAGAAAUCCUCUGGGCUAAUACCCCGGGGGGAUGACGGUACCGGAAGAAUAAGCACCGGCUAACUACGUG